GAUGAACGCUAGCUACAGGCUUAACACAUGCAAGUCGAGGGGAAACGACAUCGAAAGCUUGCUUUUGAUGGGCGUCGACCGGCGCACGGGUGAGUAACGCGUAUCCAACCUGCCCACCACUUGGGGAUAACCUUGCGAAAGUAAGACUAAUACCCAAUGAUAUCCCACGAAGGCAUCGGAAUGGGAUUAAAGAUUUAUCGGUGAUGGAUGGGGAUGCGUCUGAUUAGCUUGUUGGCGGGGUAACGGCCCACCAAGGCUACGAUCAGUAGGGGUUCUGAGAGGAAGGUCCCCCACAUUGGAACUGAGACACGGUCCAAACUCCUACGGGAGGCAGCAGUGAGGAAUAUUGGUCAAUGGGCGAGAGCCUGAACCAGCCAAGUAGCGUGCAGGAUGACGGCCCUAUGGGUUGUAAACUGCUUUUAUAAGGGAAUAAAGUGGGUCUCGUGAGACUUUUUGCAUGUACCUUAUGAAUAAGGACCGGCUAAUUCCGUG
rnacentral:rRNA from 1 species